GGAAGUGACUGGAUGUGGAGAGGAGUGUAUCCGCGAAGGAACGCACAAGUGGCCUGACCUGCAGAAGAACGCUAGCUAGGCACUAGGCAUGCCGGCAAGGUCAGCUGAGAGCUGACCCCAGUGCAACGUGGAGGAGUUUGGUUGGGGCAGUCGGAGGAGCACCUGGGCCGCCAAGCGGCCAGACUUCGGGGGAAAGCCAUCUCUCUUCUGGCGCCUUUAUCGGCAGAGAGCUACUUGUACUCAAAACCUUGCACUCAUUCUCCAAGCCCACGUGGGUAAGAUUCACCCACACUGCGGAGGGCGUCGGAGCUCCACAGCCUGCCUGUCUGUAUGCUCCCAUAGAGGUUUGAGCAGCGGGGCACUGGAGAAGCAAGUCACACCCCCAUUGCACGCCAUGGGAGUAGGACAAGGAUUCAACAGAGUUGGAUUGCUGAGAAUAAAAUUACGGAUUUCUCCAUAAUGGACACACGCACUUUUUGUUUGUGCUGUUUCCUUUAGAAUGGACGAUGAGUCAAAAUUGUUCGUUUAUGCUUCUUCACAGAAGGAUCUUCUGUGUCGUAGGAGGUGGCCUGCAGCAAUCUGGACAUUCAGUGGUCCUCCUGUGAUUAAUAGGUGAACGGAUGAGCUAUUCUGAUAAGAACUGGGGAACUUUUGCCAUUCAAAAGCAAAUAGAAGAACUGGGAGAUUCCUCAACUUAGCUUUUCUUUUUUUUGGUUCUAAAGUGACUGCGAAUGGAGGUAGAAGAGAAGAAAAGCUUUCAAAAACAUCUUCCAUUAAGAAAAAUAUGUAUCUUCAUGAAGACCUAUCUGAGUAAAAUUACUAAAACAUAAUGGCUUUCUUGAAAUAGAAUGGAAUGAAAGGCAUAUUAGGGAGUAUGAAAGUAUGAAGAUUUUAUUAACAUACUUCUAGAAGUUUAUUAAAUAUCUGCACAGGAACUGUAAUUUGAGAUCAGUGGUGGAAAGAGAAUAAAGGAAUCACGUGGACAUCAGCUCUGAGGCCUGUGGCCCCACUUGCUUCUGGGCUUUCUAUAGACAUUUGCUGGUGACCUGCCCAGGCAGGCUAGAGUACCCUUCCUCAUUGCACCCUGUGUUCCCAUCCUCUUUUCCUUCCUUCCUUCCUUCCUUCCUUCCUUCCUUCCUUUCUUCCUCCAUCCCUUAUGAAACCCUCGUUGUGCAGUUACUUAUUAGGUGCUGUGUGAGCGUCUGAAGUCUCCCCUCACCCACUUUUCCAUUUGGGCCACUUGGCCAGUGAUUGCAUCAGUACCAGGGUUCUAGGAGCCAUGCAGGGAUCCCCAGUGGGCAGAGCUGGCCGUAGCAUUUGGAAAGGAAGAGAGAGAACUGGAGACAAUGCCUAGGAACAAAAGCAGAGUCCAGACCCAGGCAUCAAGUGCAAAUCCAAAGGCUCUGGAUGAGUCAGUUCCCAGCAAAGGGACACAAGUAGGCACAGAAGGAAGGACAGCAGAAAACACUGGUCCAGAGAGGGCCUGCAGAGCCAGAAGCGAUGACGCAUCCAAGGUUGUGUUUGACUUCUGCACUGCCUCUGCAACCUGUAAGCACAUCUGAGCCAGUUCAGAAAGUAGGAAAACCAAAGUAUAUCAGAAAUGGCCUCUUAUCAUCAAGGAGAUUUUGGUCUAGAUUGCUUAUUGCUCAGGAGAAAUCACCACUUUUUAAAAAGAUAUGCUGAGAUAGGGUUUAGUUGGGAUAGAAAAGGUUAUUAAACUACGGGACACCCUUCCUUUACAGAGUGUAAGCACUACUACCCCUUUUGUUUGUCUGUUUUUCUUAUUUUUCUCACAGAUGCAGUUCCUGCAUUAGUAUUGAUAAAUGUGUGGCUGCUCCACUUGGAGUGUUUUCAAAGCAUAAAUCACAGCAUUGAUGGUGCUGUGGUUUGGCUCUUCCAGCCCUCUUAACAACGGUCUGAUGGACUUGGCGAGAGUCUAGCCACGUGUUCUGGCCUCUGUCACUCUCAUGGCUGAAACGCAUGCACACCCACAGAUGGGGGCCCCGUGGUAGAGAUGUGCCUCUACUUGUCAAAUAGACUGACUCCAAAUUCGGAAAUAUGCCUCAGGAAUCUAGAAAGAUAGAAAAGGAGUCUUCGUCACUGUAGGGUCUCAUUCACAAUAUGGAGGAGAGAUGGAGGGGAGUUUUUGGUAUAAAUUUUGCCUCAUAAAAAUUCUCCACGUUGUUUUGUACUGUAUGAGGGUAGCGAGAAAUUAGUUGAUGGUUAACAAUCAAGCUGGAGAAGAAUAUCCUCAAUUUUUCACAUGGAAAAUGAAAAACUACAACUCCUUCCAAAUAUAUGUAUGUUUCUUUUCUGAAGAUAGACGUGUGUGUGUUUGUGUGUAUCAUAUAACAUUUAUUUUUUGAUUUCUUUGUUAUCAACAGUAAAAAUACAGAAAAUGAUGCCAAAGAG
rnacentral:lncRNA from 10 species